rnacentral:rRNA from 1 species
UACGGGGGGGGCAAGCGUUGUUCGGAAUUACUGGGCGUAAAGGGUGCGUAGGCGGCUUUUUAAGUCGGAUGUGAAAACUCUGGGCUCAACCCAGAGCCUGCAUCCGAAACUGGAGAGCUUGGGUUCUGGAGGGGAAAGCGGAAUUCCUGGUGUAGCAGUGAAAUGCGUAGAUAUCAGGAGGAACACCGGUGGCGAAGGCGGCUUUCUGGACAGAUACCGACGCUGAGGCACGAAAGCUAGGGGAGCAAACGGG